rnacentral:lncRNA from 1 species
GCUAAAUCUCUGUUGUUUCCAGGUAGUCCAGGAAUUCAUCACCAUUUAGGAAAUCAUGGAAUUAUGGACACGCUUCAUGAUACAAAAAGGUGCUCUCUCCUGGAAGCAUUAGAAAGCAAGAAAGUCCUGGUCAAUGCAGAUAUUGUUUGAGUAGCUCUGUGAGCUGCCAGGUACUUGGUGAAGAUGAGGCUGGCAACCAAGGGUUCCACCUCUAGCUGGAUUCAAGUCAUGGCUCAGCUAUACUUCCUCUUAAAAAUCAGUCAUGUUGGUUGGUGUCCUCCAGUUGGUGGUAUGGUGCAUGAAGUGAAUACAUGCCUUCGUUCACCUGUUGGGGACAGGAUGCAUCCUCUUCCCUCAGGAAGAAGACGCAGACCUGCACCCCAAAGCAGGGCCAAAUUCUUCUUCAAAAGCCUGCACGAGAGGUUACUCUGCUGUAGAUCUCAUUAAGCUUCACUCACUCUGUGCACAGCAGCUGAAUGCUAGUUUCAGUGUCUAUAUCCUGCCUCCCCCAUCAGACCAGCCCCAUGCUUGCUGAGGGAUGCAGGGUUGAUGGCACAAGGCAACAGUGAUCAGUGCACAGCAGGGAAACAGGGCCUGGCUCAUCCAGUGGAAUAUUACUCAAGGAAAGGAGGAGUUAUGGCAUAACAAAAUUUAUAAAUACCUGUUUUGUUUUGCUUUUUGGAAUAAGAUGGAUAAGGGUUGCCACCCUUACCCAGUGGCAAUAGCAAAUGCCAUGGAGUUCAUACAGCUUAUAACAAGUAUAUCAAGUCCCCACACCCUCCACGAAUACAAGCUUCAGAAAGCACAUUUUCAGCUUGAUCACAAAGAUUUGAUCUUAAAUUAAGCUUGCAAUGGGUAACUGGUGAAGUUAUUCCUAUUUUUAAAAUGUUACAGAUGCUGCAAGCAAUGAGGGACAAGGGAUAGGUAUAUAGGGCUCAGGUGCCCCAUCAGUGUUAGGGGGCUGCAGGACUGUGUGAGGCAAGGCCAGGACUGCUCCAUACUGGACACCGACAGUUCCAGCCAACUCCAAUGGCCCCAGCACAGGGCAGGGCUGGGCCCAGAAGCUGCCUUGGGGUGAGGAAAGAAAAGGAGAGUGAGAGCACAGCUGGGUGGGAGCUUGGCCUAAGCCAAGGUUAACCCACAACAACAGACCCACAAGUUUUAAGACAGUUCCUAAGUAAAGUUACUUAGAAGAUAUACAUAUAGUCUGAAGGAUGCACAGAAAGAGCAUUAAUGCAGAGCAAGGACCAACAAAUUAGUUCAGGGUACUCUACAGAUACAGCGGCCAAUACACUAAUGGCUGCACUGCAUUAAUAACUGCAUGAAACAACCAGACAUAUAGGAGCAAAAAAUGAGAGAAGUUAGCUAACAAAGUUAUGAAAAAGCAGAGAGGUGCUUCUGGAGGAGACAAUCCCAUGGAAAGGCCAGAGGUUGUUCUCUUCUACGG